AUGCCAGUGCCUCAAGGAAAAAAUGGUCCUUUUCGGCAAUGUGUUCGGUACUGGGGGCUUGGCCCUUGUGUAUUACCGCAUACAAAAGACUUUUUCCAGGGCUUUGUAUUACCAGUUGGCAUUGGAGCAGGUGCAUAGCCAUCCCAAGGCACAGGGAGCUCUGGGCCCUCUUCUCAACAUUCACUGUCUCAAACUCACCAAGCACAACUUUGUGGACAUUGCUGAUGCCAAGUUGAAGAUUCCUAGCUCUGGAUCCAAGUCAGAGGGCCAUCUCCAUGUCAGCUCAUCCAGAAGUGCCCCUUUCAGAGGUGGCACCUUGAUGAGGUCUUCCUAGAGCCCAAGGAUGGCCAGCAGAUUCCCUUGUUCAAGCUCAGUGGGGAGAAUGGUGAAGAAGUGA
rnacentral:lncRNA from 1 species